GAUGAUGAACGUAGCGAAAUGCGAUACGUAAUGUGAAUUGCAGAAUUCAGUGAAUCAUCGAGUCUUUGAACGCACAUUGCGCCCCCUGGUAUUCCGGGGGGCAUGCCUGUCCGAGCGUCAUUGCUGCCCUCAAGCACGGCUUGUGUGUUGGGCCUCCGUCCUCCUCCCGGGGGACGGGCCCGAAAGGCAGCGGCGGCACCGCGUCCGGUCCUCGAGCGUAUGGGGCUUCGUCACCCGCUCUUGUAGGCCCGGCCGGCGCUUGCCGACACAUCAAUCUUUUUUCCAGGUUGACCUCGGAUCAGGUAGGGAUACCCGCUGAACUUAAGCAUAUCAAUAAGCGGAGGA
rnacentral:misc_RNA from 1 species